rnacentral:rRNA from 1 species
GUUAUGUUCUUGAAACUUAAAGAAUUUGGCGGUAUCUCAUUCCGUUCAGAGGAAUCUGUCUCGUUAUCGAUAGUCCACGCUGGACCUUACUUAAUUGAUUUGGUUUGUAUACCGCCGUUUAUUGAUUAUCUUUUUAGAGUUUGCUUUAAUUUUCUGGUUUCUCUAUUUUGGUGUAUUUCAGGUCAAGGUGCAGCUUGUUUUUAAGUGGAAUGAUGGAUUACAUUGAUAUUUGUUUUAUGGAUUGUUGAUUUUAAUAUUGGCAUGAAAUUGGAUUUGGUUGUAAUGAUUUGUAGAUUGUUAUUAUGAUAUUGGUUCUGAGAUAUGUACACAUCGCCCGUCGCU